rnacentral:rRNA from 1 species
CCUACGGGGUGCAGCAGUGAGGAAUAUUGGUCAAUGGACGAGAGUCUGAACCAGCCAAGUAGCGUGAAGGAUGACUGCCCUAUGGGUUGUAAACUUCUUUUAUAUGGGAAUAAAAUGUUCCACGUGUGGGAUUUUGUAUGUACCUUAUGAAUAAGGAUCGGCUAACUCCGUGCCAGCAGCCGCGGUAAUACGGAGGAUCCGAGCGUUAUCCGGAUUUAUUGGGUUUAAAGGGAGCGUAGGUGGAUUGUUAAGUCAGUUGUGAAAGUUUGCGGCUCAACCGUAAAAUUGCAGUUGAAACUGGCAGUCUUGAGUACAGUAGAGGUGGGCGGAAUUCGUGGUGUAGCGGUGAAAUGCUUAGAUAUCACGAAGAACUCCGAUUGCGAAGGCAGUUCACUGGACUGCAACUGACACUGAGGCUCGAAAGUGUGGGUAUCAAACAGGAUUAGAUACCCCUGUAGUC